GGAGAAAUACCCAAGUGGCUGAAGGGGCGGGCUUGGAAAGCUCGUAGGUUGUAAAAGGCGCGAGGGUUCGAACCCCUCUUUCUCCGCCA
rnacentral:tRNA from 1 species